rnacentral:rRNA from 1 species
UACGUAGGGUGCAAGCGUUGUCCGGAAUUAUUGGGCGUAAAGAGCGUGUAGGCGGCUUGGCAAGUCUGACGUGAAAGCCCGCGGCUCAACCGCGGAUUGUCGUUGGAAACUGCCUCGCUAGAGUCCGGAAGAGGAGAGCGGAAUUCCUGGUGUAGCGGUGGAAUGCGCAGAUAUCAGGAAGAACACCCGUGGGCGAAGGCGGCUCUCUGGGACGGUACUGACGCUGAGACGCGAAAGCGUGGGGAGCGAACAGG